rnacentral:rRNA from 1 species
GACGAACGCUGGCGGCGUGCUUAACACAUGCAAGUCGAACGGUAAGGCCCUUUCGGGGGUACACGAGUGGCGAACGGGUGCGUAACACGUGGGUGAUCUGCCCUGCACUUUGGGAUAAGCCUGGGAAACUGGGUCUAAUACCGGAUAGGACUACGCGAUGCAUGUCGUGUGGUGGAAAGCUUUUGCGGUGUGGGAUGGGCCCGCGGCCUAUCAGCUUGUUGGUGGGGUGAUGGCCUACCAAGGCGACGACGGGUAGCCGGCCUGAGAGGGUGUCCGGCCACGCUGGGACUGAGAUACGGCCCAGACUCCUACGGGAGGCAGCAGUGGGGAAUAUUGCACAAUGGGCGCAAGCCUGAUGCAGCGACGCCGCGUGGGGGAUGACGGCCUUCGGGUUGUAAACCCCUUUCAGCACAGACGAAGCGUAAGUGACGGUAUGUGCAGAAGAAGCACCGGCCAACUACGUG